GUGCCUUCGCUGAAACCGGCCUCUGCCAUCCAGUGGCCAGCAUGACAAGGUGAGGCUCUAACGCUACCACUCUCUGCAUCCUGUUCUAGGCUUUCUUGGCUUUGCCUGCCCAGUCGUUUCAUGCCAGGAGCAGGAGCUGCCUGCUGGAGGCUGGAGCUUGUGGCACCACCGCUCGCCUCGCUGUGGUUGGUGGCGGCCAUGGAGACUAAAGACUCAGCGCUGGAGUGGUAGGAGGGCGGCAAUGAAGACUGAAGAGCACCUGAGCGAAAACCCUUUUGCUGUGCCUCAGGAUGGGGGAGAUGAGAUCUGAAAUACCCAGUGCAGCCUCCGAGAAGAACAACUUCUACAGAGAUGCCAGGGACAGCCAAGGUGGUAGAGAAGGAAAUGCUGCCUGUGCCCAAAGCCCCCUUCUGCGGACUUCUAAGAUUACGAGCAAACUCAGGGGUAGGGGCUGGGGGUGCAGGGGAGGAGAUUCUGAGCCACCUGUCCACAAGUGAUAGUCCUGUUUUGGGCUGGUGGCUUCUGAGAGGUGACUUAUUGUGGCCUCAGGAUGACCAAGACAAAGCAACUCUGGCUGAUUCCAGCCAGGAGAAUUGAGGCCUGUGAGUUAUACCCGUGGUUGAAAACCGAAGCUUCCCUUGCCCCUGCUCCCUCCAAUAGCGGCCCCUUGGGGCUAUUUGUGUCAGAAUAUUGAAUGUGCGUGUGUGUGUGUGUGCGCGCGCGUGUGAUUUGGGGUGUUCUUCUUGUUUGGUUGGUUGGUUUUUACUGGGGCUUCACCCCUCAAGUUCUCUGAUGGGUGCGGGUUACCUUCUGGCUGGGGGUUCUCAUCUGUGUCAAUGUCCAGGCUGCAAGCUUCUUGCUAAGCACAGGGUACAGCCCCUCUGUGUCUCAGGGAGCACUGGGGAUUUGAAAAUGCCAGUCAGGGUUGGUUCUUACAGAAUUCGUUCCUGUAACAAAAAUACUCAGGGACGCAUCUCAGGCUGACCACAGGGCAGGUACCAAGUUAAGUGUUUUCAUGCACUCUCUCUCACCACAUGGGAGGCAGGUAUGAUUAACCCCCUGCAGAAAAAGCUGCAGAAAAAGCUCACAGUGGGGAAGGGGUGCCCAGGGCCACAUGGCCAGGAGGAGACCAACCCCUCGUUUGACCUCAGGGGUGCAGGAACCCAAAGUCCAGGCUCCAACUCCCUGGACAUGACGUGCUCCCCAGCCAGGACACACCCUGCACAAUGCCAGGAGCAUCUCCUUGAUGCCUCCACAGGCUGUCGCCCUGAGUUCUCCACCAUCACCGCCCAGAGCGCUGAUCCACUCAGCACAUUCUGGCUAAGCACCUGCUGUGUGCCAGGCCCCAUGCUGGGCAGUGAUGGGGACAAAAGAUGAGUCAGACCUCAUCUCUGCCCCUGGGGAGCCUCCCAUCUGGUAGGGGCGACAGACACAUGGAUCUUUGCUGGGCAGGGUAACGAGGCUAUGGAAACCCAGAGAGGAGGGUUCUAGAAAUCCACCCACUUUCAAGUGGGACUUCCACAUAAGCCUAGAUGCCCGUAACAUCCACCCACAGAGCUAAUCACCUCCACUCCUGCCCCGGGGCACCUAUGAGAUGGCAUCACCUAAAUGAUCACAAACAUCUCCAAAGGCCACACUGCCAGUGUAGACACACUCAUUCCAUGGGUGUUAGUGAUACCAAAUCUCCCCCAGUGCUCAGGAGGCCCUGCUUAAUAAAUAUAUGUGUCCUCUGACCCAGUUUCCUCAUUCAUCAGAUCUAGUGUUCUCACACUGACUGCCCAUCCAUUCACCAGACACAACAGUGAGCAAGGCAGGUCCCUGCUCACUGUGCUGGCUUUCUAGCUAGGGCGGGAAUACAGUGAAGGUGGCAAGGGCGGCGAGUGUUCUGCCGGGAACUCAGUUUGAGGGACAAGUGAGUGAGACCCUUGUGGACCUGGGGUGGUCUGGGAAGGCCUUAUUGAGCAGAUGAUUGAAGGCCAGAUUUGAAUGACACACAGGAGCUAGUAAUAGGUGUUAAAGAUAGGAAAAGAGCAUUCCAGGAAGAAGGAACAGCUAGUGCAAAGGCCCUGUGGCAGCCACAGGCUGGUUGGUUUCAAGGAAGCAUAAGAAAGCCAGGUGGCUGGGACCCAGAGGGAAGGCAGGAGAUGAGGGCAAGAGUGCCCAGCCCUGGGCUCCACUGUGAAUCACACUGUGCAAACACAAUGCCCUGCCUUUGGAAAAGCAGAACAAACUUGCUAGGGC
rnacentral:lncRNA from 1 species